rnacentral:rRNA from 1 species
GACAGAGGUGCCAAGCGUUAGGCGGAAUCACUGGGCUUAAAGCGCGUGUAGGUGGCGGCCUAAGUACCUUGUGAAAUCCUGCGGCUCAACCGCAGAACUGCUUGGUAUACUGGGUCGCUUGAGCCAUCCAGGGGCAACUGGAACAAGCGGUGGAGCGGUGAAAUGCGUAGAUAUCUGGAGGAACACCGGUGGCGAAGGCGGCAUCCUGGACCGGCAUUGACGCUGAGUGAGCGAAAGCCAGGGGAGCAAACGGG